CUUCGUUUAUUUUUUUUACCUUUAAUCUUGUUUCUUGUUGUGAUCUUUAUUACUUCACAUCGUCAUUAAAUCUUAUUCUUUACAAUCCUUUGGGAUCAACAAGUGGUAUUAGAACUUGGUUCUUCUUCUGUGGAUUGGUUGGGGUUUUUUUUAGAGAUGACUAUCAUGAGGUAUGACAUUCCCCUGUUGAAUCACAAUACAAGAUUUUCUUUGUGACAAAUAAAGAUAAGGACUAUUCUGAUGCAGUUGGAUUUGGAUGAUGCGCUGCUAGGUUUUGAGAAGAUGCCAGCUGAUUGAACAACGGAAGAGAAAUAUCGGAGGGAUCGGAAGGCUUUAUCACGGAUCCAUCUUCAUUUAUCCAAUAAUAUUCUGCAAGAUGUCUUAAAGGAGAAAACAUCGACUGCCUUGUGGUUGAAAUUGGAGCAGUUAUGCAUGACUAAAAGUCUCACGAGCAAACUGGUUCUAAAGUAGAAGCUAUAUUCUCAUUUCAUGAUGAAAGGAGGGUCAUUGGAGGACCAUAUUGUCGUGUUCAAGGAAAUAGUUGCAGAUUUGGAGACAUUGGAGGUUAAGUACAAUGAAGAAGAUUUGGCUUUGAUCCUGUUGCGUUCGUUGCCUGGGUCUUAUGCGUCGUUUCUGGUCACCAUUUUGUAUAGUCAGGAUACUUUGACUAUAAACGACGUCUAUGAUGUUUUGCACUCAAAGGAGAAGUUGAAGCAUUUGGUUGGAGUUACAUCGAGGGAUGAGAAAGCUCUUGUAUCUCAUGAUGGUCGACGGAGAGGCAGAUCGAAGAAUAACAACAAUUUGUUUUGCUUCUACUGCAGAUGUAUGGGACAUAUUCGGAAGGAUUGUGAUAAGUUGCAAGUUAAGGGUGAUUUAACUGCAAAUCGUGGAGCGCAACUUUUGACUUCAGACGAAACAAAUCGUGGUAUCUGACGUGAAAUCUAGACCUGACGAGAAGUGGAUUCUUGAUUCGACAUGUUCGCAUCAUAAGUGUUCCAAUCAAAAUUUCUUUCAGACAUAUGAUGCUGUUCAGCAAGGUGGAGUUGUAAUGGGAAACAACCAGUAUUGUUGUAUUGCUGGGAUAUGUCAAGUCAGAUUUAGGCUGCUGGAUGAGAUAGUCAGAAAAAUUGAUCAGGUUCGACAUGUUCCAAAACUGAAAAAGGAAUCUCAUCUCGCAUAGUACUCUGGAUGUAAAAAGAUAUAAAUUCUCUGGUGGAGGUGGUGUCUUGAAAGUCUGAAAGGGUGUCCUGGUUGUAUUAGAGACACAUAGAAUGUCUCAAUUGUAAAUCUUGUAGGGGAGCGUAGAAUCAGUUAAGAGAUAUAUGGGCAAGUUCGGUAUCGUGGUGGAUAUUCAGUUUGGUAUAGUACAUCUUGUGACGGGCUCUGGGUUGGUUCAGAACUUGCUCGAGGAAGCAUUGGUGAUUCUGCUUUGCCAUCAAUUUCAGCAGUUGCACUGUGUUUAGUUGUUUGGAUUGGAUCCAUUGAGUGUAGAAACCGUGGUGUCAAUGAUGUCUGUAUUGCUUUUGGGGACUUUAAAUGCGACAGUUCUAGCGAAGGGUUUUCUAUUCAGACAUUUUGUACGGUUUCUGUUACUUCGACCCUGUUUGGUAAACAUUAAUUCCUUGGUGGAAUUUUGGGAACUCGGGAGUAGGGUUCAGGUGUCGCUUAUGGACGCCGUGCAAAGGACGAUGAUUUAUAUGGAGAGUUUUGGUUAUUGCGUUGAGGAGAUUUGCCAUUUCAUUUCCAUGCAAAUGGGUUUAUUUUUUAGGUAGAGAAAUUUUGUGGAGCCCCGCUCGUUGUACCAAAAUUUGAGUUAAAGUGGAGAUUGUUAGAGUUGUGAUUCAAACAAGAGUCUUGAAUCACGUGUUGUUGGUGUUAGAAAUGAGUCUAACUGCAUUCAACUACAAGGAAACAAAAUCUCUUUAAAAUUG
rnacentral:lncRNA from 1 species